rnacentral:RNase_P_RNA from 1 species
UGGGUCGGCCGGACGGCCGCGUGGCGCGAGAGCGCACCGAGGAACGUCCGGGCUCCACAGGGCAGGGCGGUGGGUAACACCCACCCGGAGCGAUCCGCGAGAAAGUGCCACAGAGAGAAGACCGCCGUCGCCCCUCGGGGAGGCGGUAAGGGUGAAAGGGUGGUGUAAGAGACCACCGGGGGACAUGGUGACAUGUCCCGCCAGGUAAACCUCGCCCGGAGCAAGACCAGACAGAGGGCGUCGACGCGGCUCGCCGAGUCCUCGGGUAGGUUGCUGGAACGACACGGCAACGUGUCGUCGAGAGAGAUGGCCGUCAAGGGAGCGAAGUACUCCUGAACAGAACCCGGCGUACAGGCCGGCCCACUCG